AGCUAUUCUGGGAUGUGAGUUCACAGGGAGAAAAGAUGGCUGAGUUUAUUUACUGCCACUUCAACUGGUACUCACAAGAAGGCUGUAUGACUGUGGUAGCGCAAGAAACAGUUCCUCCAGGGGAUGGAUGAACUCCCUGAUAACAUCAUGCAGGAAACGUUAUGAAGCCUUUCAACCAGCCAGGUCUACACUGAAGCUGUUAUGUAAGGAGAAAUAUCUGAGAAUAGAAGUCCUGUGAAGCUGUAACUUGUGUCUGGGCUGCUGCACUUCAAAAGCAUGGGCAGGAAG